UGAGGAAUAUUGGUCAAUGGGCGGUAGCCUGAACCAGCCAAGUAGCGUGCAGGAUGACGGCCCUAUGGGUUGUAAACUGCUUUUAUGCGGGGAUAAAGUCACCCACGUGUGGGUGUUUGCAGGUACCGCAUGAAUAAGGACCGGCUAAUUCCGUGCCAGCAGCCGCGGUAAUACGGAAGGUCCGGGCGUUACCCGGAUUUAUUGGGUUUAAAGGGAGUGUAGGCGGCCUGUUAAGCGUGUUGUGAAAUGUAGGUGCUCAACAUCUGAACUGCAGCGCGAACUGGCUGGCUUGAGUACACGCAACGUGGGCGGAAUUCAUGGUGUAGCGGUGAAAUGCUUAGAUAUCAUGAGGAACUCCUAUUGCGAAGGCAGCUCACGGGAGUGUCACUGACGCUUAAGCUCGAAGGUGCGGGUAUCAAACAGG
rnacentral:rRNA from 1 species